AGUGAACGCUGGCGGUAGGCCUAACACAUGCAAGUCGAACGGCAGCACAGUAAGAGCUUGCUCUUACGGGUGGCGAGUGGCGGACGGGUGAGGAAUACAUCGGAAUCUACUUUUUCGUGGGGGAUAACGUAGGGAAACUUACGCUAAUACCGCAUACGACCUACGGGUGAAAGCAGGGGAUCUUCAGACCUUGCGCGAUUGAAUGAGCCGAUGUCGGAUUAGCUAGUUGGCGGGGUAAAGGCCCACCAAGGCGACGAUCCGUAGCUGGUCUGAGAGGAUGAUCAGCCACACUGGAACUGAGACACGGUCCAGACUCCUACGGGAGGCAGCAGUGGGGAAUAUUGGACAAUGGGCGCAAGCCUGAUCCAGCCAUACCGCGUGGGCGAAGAAGGCCUUCGGGUUGUAAAGCCCUUUUGUUGGGAAAGAAAAGCAGCAGGUUAAUACCCCGCUGUUCUGACGGUACCCAAAGAAUAAGCACCGGCUAACUUCGUG
rnacentral:rRNA from 1 species